UACGAAGGGGGCUAGCGUUGCUCGGAAUCACUGGGCGUAAAGCGCACGUAGGCGGAUUGUUAAGUCAGGGGUGAAAUCCUGGAGCUCAACUCCAGAACUGCCUUUGAUACUGAAGAUCUUGAGUUCGGGAGAGGUGAGUGGAACUGCGAGUGUAGAGGUGAAAUUCGUAGAUAUUCGCAAGAACACCAGUGGCGAAGGCGGGUCUCUGGACAGUUCCUGACGCUGAGGCACGAAGGCCAGGGGAGCAAACGGG
rnacentral:rRNA from 1 species